rnacentral:snoRNA from 1 species
UGUCUCUGACCUGGGUAAAGUGGCAUCUGGUUGGUGGUACUUAUCUCAAAUCACACAGACAUAAGGCAAUCUCUUGUUUAUCCCAGCUUGGCUUUUCUUAUCUUCUUUU